GGGAAGCUUGUUGAGUUAGAGUGU
rnacentral:piRNA from 1 species